UCCAAGAAAUUGGGGCUAAUACCGGAUAUGUCCGCUGACCGCAUGGGAGGUGGUGGAAAGGGUUUCCGGCUGGGGAUGGGCCCGCGGCCUAUCAGCUUGUUGGUGGGGUAGUGGCCUACCAAGGCGACGACGGGUAGCCGGCCUGAGAGGGUGACCGGCCACACUGGGACUGAGACACGGCCCAGACUCCUACGGGAGGCAGCAGUGGGGAAUAUUGCGCAAUGGGCGGAAGCCUGACGCAGCGACGCCGCGUGGGGGAUGACGGCCUUCGGGUUGUAAACCUCUUUCAGCAGGGACGAAGCGCAAGUGACGGUACCUGCAGAAGAAGCACCGGCCAACUACGUGCCAGCAGCCGCGGUAAUACGUAGGGUGCAAGCGUUGUCCGGAAUUAUUGGGCGUAAAGAGCUCGUAGGCGGUUCGUCGCGUCGGCUGUGAAAACCUGAGGCUCAACCUCAGGCCUGCAGUCGAUACGGGCGGACUUGAGUUCGGCAGGGGAGACUGGAAUUCCUGGUGUAGCGGUGAAAUGCGCAGAUAUCAGGAGGAACACCGGUGGCGAAGGCGGGUCUCUGGGCCGAAACUG
rnacentral:rRNA from 1 species